AACGCACCUUGCGCUCCUUGGUAUUCCGAGGAGCAUGCCUGUUUGAGUGUCAUGAAAUUCUCAACCUUUUCAGCUUUCUUUGUUGAUCAGGCUUGGAUGUGGGAGUAUGCGGGCUUCUCAGAAGUCGGCUCUCCUGAAAUGCAUUAGCGGGACCUUUGUUGCCUGGCUUUGGUGUGAUAAUUAUCUACGCCAUUGUAGUCAAGCAGCUUAAAAUGAGGUUUCAGCUUCUAACCGUCUCCCCUGAGACAACUUUUUGACAAUUUGACCUCAAAUCAGGUAGGACUACCCGCUGAACUUAA
rnacentral:misc_RNA from 2 species